rnacentral:lncRNA from 1 species
AACCUUGCAUGGCUCCCAGGCGUCUUUCCCUCUCCGGCAGCACUGGGCAUUUUCACGUGGACAGACUGUGAAGGGCAAGGCUCUCCGGAAGCCAUGCAAACACUCUGAAAUGCUGUCUUGCAAAAUCUCGCAAUGACCCAUAUGGAGUGAAAAGUCCAACUUUCAUUUCAGCCUGCAUGAAAGAGCCCUGUGGUGAGGGACAGUGACCCCUGGUGCACUGGACAACCCCUGCUGUGACCGAGGCUGCCCAGGAGAAGGAAGGCCCCUGGUGGCCAUGGAGGACACGGAGAAUCCAACGAACGAAUCCAGUGGCCUCGUAUUCGCCAACGCUCCAUUGAAACCACAGCUACGCUCCAGGCUGGACACUCCCUGUGGAGCAAGGCUAGAAGCUGAACUGUGCUCAGAUGAUAUCCCGGCAGUGAAAACACCAGAGUGCUAAAUGAAAAAUCUAUGCUCUCCCCACCAACUUCUUCAACUAGUGGGCCGCACAGGCUCCAGCAAGGAUUAAUUUGAACACUGUCAUUUCUUGGCAUCCCAAGCUGAAUUUUCCAGGACACAAAGGCAUGAGCAUUAUUCACAAUAGCCAAGACGUGGAAGCAACCCAAGUGCCCACUGAUGGAUGACUGGGUAAAGAAGAUGUGGUGUAUAUACACAAUGGAAUACUACUCAAACAUGAAAAAAGAUAAAAUCGUCCCAUUUGCAACAACACAUAUGGACCUUGGGGGUAUUAUGUUAAGCAAAAUAAGCCAGAGAGAGAAAGACAAACAGCUUAUUUCACUCAUAAGUGGAAGGUAAACUAACACAUGGACAAAGAGAACAGAUUAGUGGUUACCAG